rnacentral:rRNA from 1 species
GAUGAACGCUGGCGGCGUGCUUAACACAUGCAAGUCGAACGAAGCAUUUUAAAUGAGACUUUCGGGUGGAUUUUAAAAUGACUGAGUGGCGGACGGGUGAGUAACGCGUGGGCAACCUGCCUUACACAGGGGGACAACAGUUAGAAAUGACUGCUAAUACCGCAUAAGCGCACGGGAACGCAUGUUUCUGUGUGAAAAACUCCGGUGGUGUAAGAUGGGCCCGCGUUGGAUUAGGUAGUUGGUGAGGUAACGGCUCACCAAGCCGACGAUCCAUAGCCGACCUGAGAGGGUGACCGGCCACAUUGGGACUGAGACACGGCCCAA